rnacentral:pre_miRNA from 1 species
UUUGUACUCACUCCGUCCCAAAAUUCUUGUCUUAAAUUUGUCUAAAUACGGAUGUAUCUAGUUACAUUUUAGUGUUAGAUACAUCUGUAUCUAAACAAAUGUAAGAUAAGAAUUUUGGGACGGAGGGAAUACUAC